UUCACAAACGUAAAAAUUUUCGUCCCAAGAUCAGAAUUAUCUCCAAAUCCGCUGUUCUUGCAAGGCAGGGUGGAAUUCUUGAUGAUACAAUUUACCCCUCAAGAAAUUGAAAUCUAUG